rnacentral:rRNA from 1 species
UUUAUGGAGAGUUUGAUCCUGGCUCAGGAUGAACGCUGGCGGCGUGCCUAAUACAUGCAAGUCGAGCGAACGGACGAGAAGCUUGCUUCUCUGAUGUUAGCGGCGGACGGGUGAGUAACACGUGGAUAACCUACCUAUAAGACUGGGAUAACUUCGGGAAACCGGAGCUAAUACCGGAUAAUAUUUUGAACCGCAUGGUUCAAAAGUGAAAGACGGUCUUGCUGUCACUUAUAGAUGGAUCCGCGCUGCAUUAGCUAGUUGGUAAGGUAACGGCUUACCAAGGCAACGAUGCAUAGCCGACCUGAGAGGGUGAUCGGCCACACUGGAACUGAGACACGGUCCAGACUCCUACGGGAGGCAGCAGUAGGGAAUCUUCCGCAAUGGGCGAAAGCCUGACGGAGCAACGCCGCGUGAGUGAUGAAGGUCUUCGGAUCGUAAAACUCUGUUAUUAGGGAAGAACAUAUGUGUAAGUAACUGUGCACAUCUUGACGGUACCUAAUCAGAAAGCCACGGCUAACUACGUGCCAGCAGCCGCGGUAAUACGUAGGUGGCAAGCGUUAUCCGGAAUUAUUGGGCGUAAAGCGCUCGUAGGCGGUUUUUUAAGUCUGAUGUGAAAGCCCACGGCUCAACCGUGGAGGGUCAUUGGAAACUGGAAAACUUGAGUGCAGAAGAGGAAAGUGGAAUUCCAUGUGUAGCGGUGAAAUGCGCAGAGAUAUGGAGGAACACCAGUGGCGAAGGCGACUUUCUGGUCUGUAACUGACGCUGAUGUGCGAAAGCGUGGGGAUCAAACAGGAUUAGAUACCCUGGUAGUCCACGCCGUAAACGAUGAGUGCUAAGUGUUAGGGGGUUUCCGCCCCUUAGUGCUGCAGCUAACGCAUUAAGCACUCCGCCUGGGGAGUACGACCGCAAGGUUGAAACUCAAAGGAAUUGACGGGGACCCGCACAAGCGGUGGAGCAUGUGGUUUAAUUCGAAGCAACGCGAAGAACCUUACCAAAUCUUGACAUCCUUUGACAACUCUAGAGAUAGAGCUUUCCCCUUCGGGGGACAAAGUGACAGGUGGUGCAUGGUUGUCGUCAGCUCGUGUCGUGAGAUGUUGGGUUAAGUCCCGCAACGAGCGCAACCCUUAAGCUUAGUUGCCAUCAUUAAGUUGGGCACUCUAAGUUGACUGCCGGUGACAAACCGGAGGAAGGUGGGGAUGACGUCAAAUCAUCAUGCCCCUUAUGAUUUGGGCUACACACGUGCUACAAUGGACAAUACAAAGGGCAGCGAAACCGCGAGGUCAAGCAAAUCCCAUAAAGUUGUUCUCAGUUCGGAUUGUAGUCUGCAACUCGACUACAUGAAGCUGGAAUCGCUAGUAAUCGUAGAUCAGCAUGCUACGGUGAAUACGUUCCCGGGUCUUGUACACACCGCCCGUCACACCACGAGAGUUUGUAACACCCGAAGCCGGUGGAGUAACCUUUUAGGAGCUAGCCGUCGAAGGUGGGACAAAUGAUUGGGGUGAAGUCGUAACAAGGUAGCCGUAUCGGAAGGUGCGGCUGGAUCACCUCCUUU